GACGAACGCUGGCGGCGUGCCUAAUACAUGCAAGUCGAGCGAAGUUUUUCUGGUGCUUGCACUAGAAAAACUUAGCGGCGCACGGGUGAGUAACACGUAAAGAACCUGCCUCAUAGACUGGGACAACUAUUGGAAACGAUAGCUAAUACCGGAUAACAGUAUUUCUCGCAUGAGAGAUAUUUAAAAGUUGGCUAUGCUAACACUAUGAGAUGGCUUUGCGGUGCAUUAGCUAGUUGGUGGGGUAAAGGCCCACCAAGGCGACGAUGCAUAGCCGACCUGAGAGGGUGAUCGGCCACACUGGGACUGAGACACGGCCCAGACUCCUACGGGAGGCAGCAGUAGGGAAUCUUCCGCAAUGGGCGAAAGCCUGACGGAGCAACGCCGCGUGAGUGAAGAAGGAUUUCGGUUCGUAAAGCUCUGUUGUUAGGGAAGAAUGGAUAUGUAGUAACUAUACAUGUAAGAGACGGUACCUAACCAGAAAGCCACGGCUAACUACGUG
rnacentral:rRNA from 1 species